GACGAACCGUGCAAACGUUAUUCGGAAUCACUGGGCAUAAAGGGCGCGUAGGCGGCUCCAAAAGUCAGGGGUGAAAGCCGGCAGCUUAACUGUCGCAGUGCCUUUGAUACUGUGGAGCUAGAGGGAGGUAGGGGUCUGUGGAACUUCCGGUGGAGCGGUGAAAUGCGUUGAUAUCGGAAGGAACGCCGGUGGCGAAAGCGACGGACUGGAUCUCUUCUGACGCUGAGGCGCGAAAGCCAGGGGAGCAAACGGG
rnacentral:rRNA from 1 species